rnacentral:rRNA from 1 species
CCUACGGGUGGCAGCAAUUAGGAAUCUUGCGCAAUGGGGGCAACCCUGACGCAGCGACACAGUGUGGAGGAGGAAGGUCUUCGGAUUGUAAACUCCUUUUAUGAGGGAAGAAUAGAUGACGGUACCUCAUGAAUAAGCACCUGCUAACUACGUGCCAGAAGCAUCGGUGAGGCGUAGGGUGCGAACGUUAUCCGGAUAUAUUGGGCGUAAAGAGAAGCGUAGGUGUUUUUGUAAGUCUUUAGUUAAAUACCACGGCUCAACCGUGGAGAAGCUUUGGAAACUACAAAAAUUGAGACAGGAAUGGGCGAAUGGAAUUCCCAGUGGAGCGGUGAAAUGCGUUGAUAUUGGGAGGAACAUCAGUGGCGAAGGCGAUUCGCUGGUCCUUGUCUGACACUGAGGCUCGAAAGCGUGGGGAGCGAAAC